rnacentral:rRNA from 1 species
GAGCAGCAGUGGGGAAUAUUGCACAAUGGGCGAAAGCUGAUGCAGCCAUGCCGCGUGUGUGAAGAAGGCCUUCGGGUUGUAAAGCACUUUCAGCGAGGAGGAAAGGUUAACGAUUAAUACUCGUUAGCUGUGACGUUACUCGCAGAAGAAGCACCGGCUAACUCCGUGCCAGCAGCCGCGGUAAUACGGAGGGUGCGAGCGUUAAUCGGAAUUACUGGGCGUAAAGCGUGCGCAGGCGGUUUGUUAAGCGAGAUGUGAAAGCCCCGGGCUCAACCUGGGAACUGCAUUUUUGAACUGGCAAACUAGAGUCUUGUAGAGGGGGGUAGAAUUCCAGGUGUAGCGGUGAAAUGCGUAGAGAUCUGGAGGAAUACCGGUGGCGAAGGCGGCCCCCUGGACAAAGACUGACGCUCAUGCACGAAAGCGUGGGGAGCAAACAGGAUUAGAUACCCUGGUAGUCCACGCCGUAAACGAUGUCUACUCGGAGUUUGGUGUCUUGAACACUGGGCUCUCAAGCUAACGCAUUAAGUAGACCGCCUGGGGAGUACGGCCGCAAGGUUAAAACUCAAAUGAAUUGACGGGGGCCCGCACAAGCGGUGGAGCAUGUGGUUUAAUUCGAUGCAACGCGAAGAACCUUACCUACUCUUGACAUCCACGGA